CAGCCAUGGAGCUAAUAGAGACAACUGUCAGGUCCUAUGAAGCUGUGGAUUGUUUGCCUAAAAUGAAAAUACCUGUGUGCUUACUCUGGAUAAUUUUGCAGCUAAUAUAGUGGUUGUCCAAGUAAAUUGCAUCAUGAAGUCCAAAAAUUCCUGGAGCAGUAGAGGAAGUAGGAAUCCCUCGGCUGGAAGACAGAGAACAUGACUACCCUUCUGUCACUGUGCUUUUGUUCAAUUUAAACCAUCCUGAAAGUGUACCAGUAGUCAGCCUCUGUGGUGUUGGAGGAUCUUCUGAAUCUUAUGCUUUAAAGAUGCCUUUAAAAUGAAAGAGCCCAGAUUUACAGGCAGUUUUGUCAUCUUGGAUCUGUGAAAUUGGUUACCCUGGAAGAAGAAAGGACAGAUUAUGGGCCUGUAUGAGGAGUUGGAAGACUUCAGUAUAAUGUGGAGAUAUGUCAGGGAGAAGGAGCUGGAAGUACUUAGUGAUUUGUUCUAAUAGUUUAUUAUUAAAUAUCUGCGACAAUCUGUCCCCCAUUGAGCAAUCUAGUUUCUCUGUAGAUCUUUACCAGGAAUGAGGCAAAAUUUUUACCAGGAAUGAGGCAAAAGUUCCUUUCCUGUAAGAGAGAACAAAAGAGGUAAAUAGCUGAAACUAUGAAAUUAAAACUAUGGAUAGCAGUAAUGAGUUACAAUGUCAAACCUACUGAGGUUGUAUAAUCAAAAUUUCUUGCUGACAUUGAGGAAGUAAUACUUCAAUGAAAACUUGAGGGAAAGGAUGGAAUCUUUAUGUAAAAUCUGGCCUAAUAAAUUCAUAAUAUUCAUAUUUCUCCUCUAA